GGCGAGAUAGCUCAGUUGGUUAGAGCGCAGCACUCAUAAUGCUGAGGUCGGGGGUUCGAGUCUCCCUCCCGCUA
rnacentral:tRNA from 1 species